CUUCAGCUGCCGUGUAUAUAUGCUUCCUCCCUAACCUUUUUCAAUCCGGCGACAAAACAUCCAUCAACAUGGUGCUCUGCUAGGUGUUGUUCAUACUGGCUUAUGCUCAAUUGAUUCAGGCGGAUCUUGGAGACUGGAUGUCGCAUUUUUUAUUUCAGGAAUUCUCAGCUCAUAUCUCCAAUGGUUUCUAGUGCAGGUAAUUACUUCAGGUGCACUGCUAGACCUUAUCUUUUACCAUCCAUUUUUUGUAUAGUGUAUGACUACUUAGAUUACAUGUUUCUAAGUUAGGAUAUUUACUGUUGUUGGACAGAUUACUUAGAGUUGUACAAAAAAGCGCAAAAAGUGUUACCAUGCUGUUCUAGAAGGGUGUGAAGCCUCAACAUCUUCUUAUUUUAUCCAUACAUGAGGAAAGCCGAAUAAUUAUGUGGACAAUUUCUUUAUCCAUACAUGAGGAAAGCCAAAUAAUUAUGUGGAAAAUUUCUUUAUCCAUAAAUGAGGGAAGCCGAAUUAUUAUGUGGACAAUUUCUUUAUCUAUACAUUUGGAAAGCCAAAUAAUUAUGUGGACAAUUUCUUUAUACAUACAUGAGGAAAGCCAAAUAAUUAUGUCGACAUUUUUUCCUUAAAUGCAUGGUGCAACAUGUAAAUGAAAUCGGCCGGCCCAUAUUAGAUAAAAAUAACAUGAAUGCUUAAUUCAGGACCAUUGCGUGAUGCCACAGCCGAAUACAGUUGUCUCUCAGCGAAGAGAAUACAAAUGCCCUUAUAGGUUAUCUGGUUACCAAAGAUAAUGCUUACCUGCUAUUCAUGUACAUAAUAAUCAACUGAAAUUGAUUCCUUCUGUAUUACCCUUCUGCCUAAUCAGCUACGUAUCAUGGUCGUUCACAUCUAACGGCACCUUAUUAUACAAUGGAAUGCCUAUUGCUUUGAUUUCUUUAUACGCUAACCAUCAACUCUACUUGUGUGUUAUUUAAUUGGGAGUUGGGCAUGGUACUGGAGAAUAUACAAGGAGAGAUUUGAUUCCUCAGCCUUUCAAGCUUUGGUGCCAGAGGGUUCACAGUGUGAUGCUAAGUAUUAUGAAAACAAAAUGCCCAGUUGCAGUAACCAGCAAGUCACCUCUCUACUACUUAUGUCAUCUUAGGUUUUGGAGGUUAUAAGGAGCUUUCUUUCUUGUUUGAUCAUACCAUGUACUUUGUGUGAUGAUUGCAAUAUCUUCUUGUGGAUCUUACAUAACAAGAAAAGAUAUCAACUAACAGCUUGGUUCCAUGGUUAUGUACACUUAGAAAUACUUAGUUACCUAGGAUCUUCCUGUUUACUCAAUGCAAAAUUUUAUCUUAUGGCA